CUGAAAUUCUGGGCCACGUCUUUCCUUUGUGUCACUCACAUCACCCAACCCAUUAACACCUGCUGAAUCUUCUCCCCAUCAGUCAUCAAUCAUGAGCAAUCAGUCAGACACUUGAUAAUUAACACAGAGAGGGAAAACACAAGGCUGAAAUUAUUUCUUUACGGUGGCUUCAUGCGUAAGCUCAAAUAGCAACGGGAAAGGUUUAAUGAGAGCCUCACUGACUGUACACCUGCAGAACAAACCCAUCAAAGUGGAAUCCAGCAGUACAUGGAACACAGAGCUUUUUCCCGUGGUUUUUAUGUCCUUCACUUGAAUUGCAACCCAGGGAUUGUGGUGCAAAAGGGGAUCUGAAGAUGGCUGAAAGCUUGAAGCAGAGCACGUGGAAAAGAUGCUGGAGGAUGACUUUGAAGCCUGUUGUUGUGAUGCACUUCUGUGGUCCUCAAAGUGUCAAUACUCUUAAAGGAAAGAUCCAUCACUGAAAAAGGCCUCUGUCAGCACUCUUCUUCACUGUCUGGAGUUGCUCUUGGUGGGACAGACUAUCUGCUACAGAGAGAGGCCAUAGGAUUGCAAGCUGCACUAAUUGCUGCCAGCAGAACAAUACUGAGACUCAUGAACGUGGGUUGUAAACAUGGUGGGCUUUUGUCAUGCACCAAUAUUCUUCACCAGGACCCUGCAUUUGCAUUUGCUGAGCUUCAGACUCUUCUUCUCUGCCCAGAAGAAGCAAUGAUUGGCCAUGGUAGUUGUCCAUGAGUGCUCAAUGAUAAGCCAACUUUAAGUCACACAGUUUCUUCAGUGGUAGAAUGACUCACCUCACUGUUAUAAAAUUGCAAGGAAAAAAAAAAUCUCAAAACAAAACCCAAGCAAAAACCCCCACUGAACCAAAGAAAAUGACAUAACACAGCACCCCUCCCCACCAAAAAAAACCCAAACAAACAAACCCAAACCCCAAACAACUUAAAAUCCCAAAGUUCUUAAAUCAAUGUUCAAAGUCAAGCAGGUGCUAUCAUGUGGCUGCCAUGUCUAAGGAGUAUCUGGACUGUAAACAGGAUGAUACUGGUGUAAAUUAAUGUAGUGCAUUAUGUGCAUUAAAUCUAUGAAGUUUUGAGCUUCAGGUUACAUAUUUGCAGGCUUCAUUUGCAUCACAUUACCUUUUUUUCCUGUUUCUAGGACUAUUCUUUGGAAGUUUUUGUGACCUAUUCAAUGUCCUCCUUGUUCUACCUUAAGAAUUGGGGCAGAUCUAUAAAGAAAGGAGCCAAAAUCCUUCAGCCCUCAGGAAACACACUUUGCUUUCUGGGCAGCUACGCUGAUCCUUUAGAAUUCCCACUAUUUCCAGUUAUUGAAUGAUUACCUAGUUUGGUGUCUAUGACCUACAGUGACAUUGAAUUUUAAUGCUGGACAAGGAUACACACAGGAGUAGCUUAAAACAAAUCUAGUCCAGAAGAGCAGUUAACAUGGCAGUUAUUCUGAGGAAAAUUUGAGUUGGGUGACUUUUUAAUAGUGUAUCAGUGGGACCACACAAAUAUUAUAAUGGUUAAAGCUAUGGAAGAUUAAAGAUCACUAGGAAAUUAUGAUUGAAAUGUGAACAGCUGCUGAAUAUCCAGCACUGUCCAACGUGUUCAUUAGGAAAAAAUAAUAAUUAUUUGAAUCUUCUGGAAGCUAAUUCUUUCUUACUAGAUUUUGUGUGAAGUAUGUGUAUUAAAUAGAAUAGAAAAAACUUUCAAGCCUCUGCAGUCCAGAGUCAGGAAGGUAAUAAAGGAAUGAACUGAAAUAAAAUAUUCCCA
rnacentral:lncRNA from 1 species